UGUCCAAAUUUAAAGUAGAGUAGAUCAGUAGUAUCGGCUGGCCUUACUAAUCUACUGUACUUUAAAUUUGGGCCC
rfam:Haemonchus contortus, ISE/inbred ISE, WGS project CAVP01000000 data, contig: Hcontortus_29140